GGAUUGCAAAACCUUUCUGACAUUUUUGAAUGGAUUUCCACAUGAAGAAAAUAGCAGCCAAACAAGUUACUGAACGGCUGAGUAUUUACUCCUCUCAGCGCCGUUCCUUGCUUCCAAAACCAAGAAAACUUCCGCAUGCAUGCAUGCGCUGAAUUCUAAUAAUAGUAUGGUAAUCAUGAAAGUUCAGAAAAAAUAGAAUAUAUAGUUUAUUUAAA
rnacentral:lncRNA from 1 species